rnacentral:lncRNA from 1 species
GGCAAGCCAAACACUGGGAAGCCACAGCGGUCUGUCCGUGCAUUUGGAUAAGAGGUAGCUGUUACAUCCGUGGCGUUGGUUAUCUGUUCUCUUAAUUAAAUCACCAUCGCGUUUCAUUGUGGGCAGUAGGCCGUCAGGGCUGUGCAAAGUGGCCAUGCCAAACCAUGGAGAUGUCAGUGCCCUUGUAUUAAGACAUCUAUCGACGGUGGAUAUAUGCCUCGCGGAUCUCUACAUGCGGAAAACGAAGCCACCACCCCUGAAUGAAGAAGCACCUUCCUUGGAAGCAGUUGUUGAGUUUUUCAUGCAGGAGUCGCCGGGUCCCAUCAGCAGCGGCGUGCCCCCAAGACGCCGAAACAGGCCAGCACAGGCAACCAACCCUCGACCGCGGGCACCGCGCGGGCGAGAUUCGACUGCGAAAGCUGUGAUCUCAGAGUUGAAAACACCACAGGCUGAACCUCAUAGCAGCGAAGACCAUGCGUCAGUUCUGAAAUGUACUAGACUAACCUCUCCUAGCGAAGAAUCGGCAUUGCCGGGCGGAUCUGUUCGUAGCCAAAACAGUAUUGGAUGUUCCCCGGUCUUGUCGGACAGAAACGCUAUCAAUUGUUGUCGACACAAAGAAGAAAAUGCACUUUCCGCUCGUGAGAAAAACGCGAAGACAAGUAAGGUGCGAGCUAAGACGAACGGUCAGCUGCUCUGCUCGGCGGCUGUCUCCUCAGGAAAGGUGUUAUCCAUCAAGAAUGAGUCCAAUGUGAAACAGGUCUCUUAUGAUAAUAGGACCAUCGGUCGUGGAACGGGCUGUUCGAACUUCUUCGAACCUUUCGUCAUCAGGCAACCUGGAAAAUGCCCCGUCAUCAGUGACAAUCGCCGGUGAAGGGGUGUUCACACCGAGAAAACGUCCGGCUGGUUCCCGGGGGACGUCAUUAGCGUGUGUCAAACGUUGUGUUUUAUCAUCCAGCGACGGUUCUGGAAGCGAUAAUGAUAUUAUUGGCAUCGCCACUCCACGCAUAGCUGUGAGACGGGAGGAUCACAGUGUGAAAGGAGAUGAACCGUUUCGCCCGACAUGCACGCGUGUGGAGGCAUGGAAUACGGCUGUUGCCUAUACUCAGCCUUAACACGUCCGAGCCAAGUGCAUCUGAGCCACGCGGGCCAAAGCCAAGUGCAUCUGGGCCGAGCGGGCCAAAGCCAAGUGCAGCUGAGCCAAACGAGCUAAAGCCAAGUACACCAAAGCGGACCGUUAUUGCGGAUUCUAAGUCUAGUGCGUCUAAGUCAAGCGCAUCUAAGCGGAGUGCAUCUAAGCUAAAGGCGUCUAAUCCAAGUGCGUCUGAACCAAGUGCAUCUAAGCAAAAAGCAGCGAGACAAAGUGCGUCUGAGCCAAGUGUGUCGAAGAACGGCAUGUCUAAGACAGGCACGACUGAGCCGCGUGCGGCUAAGCCAAGUGGGACCAAAACAGGCCGUCGAAAGCCACCCUCGGGGGGUGCCACCAAACGUGUGGAUGUCUCCAGUUCGGAGAACGCCUGUAAGAGCUCACUCCGGUACCCGCCGGACUAGUACAAGUACACGAUGGAAGGAUGACGACUCUGACAGCGGAGUGGACGAUCAUGACUCGGUGUACUCCUCCGUCAGCGAGCGGACGCUCGUCUUGGACGAGUUGCCCGGCGACGAGCUGUUGGCGUGCGACCUGUGCGGCCGCGAGUACGUGGACGGCAACUGCACGCGCCACGGGCCGCCGAUCGCCGUCCCCGACACGCCAGUGCCGGACU